CGCAGUAGCAAUACUGAGUGGCAAACGGGUGAGUAUAAUGUGGGAAUCUGCCUUUUGGUUUGGAAUAACACGGGGAAACUUGUGCUAAUACCGAAUAAGCCCUUACGGGGAAAGUUUUAACGCCGAAAGAUGAGCCUGCACUUGAUUAGCUAGUUGGUAAGGUAAAGGCUUACCAAGGCAACGAUCAAUAGCUGUUCUUAGAGGAAGACCAGCCACAUUGGGACUGAGACACGGCCCAGACUCCUACGGGAGGCAGCAGUGGGGAAUCUUGCACAAUGGGGGAAACCCUGACGCAGCGAUGCCGCGUGAGUGAAGAAAGCCUUUGGGUUGUAAAACUCUUUCGUCGGGGAAGAAAAUGACUGUACCCGAAUAAGAAGGUCCGGCUAACUUCGUGCCAGCAGCCGCGGUAAUACGAAGGGACCUAGCGUAGUUCGGAAUUACUGGGCUUAAAGAGCUCGUAGGUGGUUAAAAAAGUUGAUGGUGAAAUCCCAAGGCUCAACCUUGGAACUGCCAUCAAAACUUUUUAGCUAGAGUGUGAUAGAGGUAAGUGGAAUUUCUAGUGUAGAGGUGAAAUUCGUAGAUAUUAGAAAGAACACCAAAUGCGAAGGCAACUUACUGGGUCACUACUUGACACUGAGGAGCGAAAGCAUGGGUAGCGAAGAGGAUU
rnacentral:rRNA from 1 species